rnacentral:rRNA from 1 species
CCUACGGGAGGCAGCAGUGGGGAAUUUUCCGCAAUGGGCGAAAGCCUGACGGAGCAACGCCGCGUGAGGGAUGAAGGCCUCUGGGCUGUAAACCUCUUUUAUCAAGGAAGAAGAUCUGACGGUACUUGAUGAAUAAGCCACGGCUAAUUCCGUGCCAGCAGCCGCGGUAAUACGGGAGUGGCAAGCGUUAUCCGGAAUUAUUGGGCGUAAAGCGUCCGCAGGCGGCCUCGUAAGUCUGUCGUUAAAGCGUGGAGCUUAACUCCAUUAAGGCGAUGGAAACUGUGAGGCUUGAGUGUGGUAGGGGCAGAGGGAAUUCCCGGUGUAGCGGUGAAAUGCGUAGAUAUCGGGAAGAACACCAGUGGCGAAGGCGCUCUGCUGGGCCAUAACUGACGCUCAUGGACGAAAGCCAGGGGAGCGAAAGGGAUUAGAUACCCCUGUAGUCCUGGCCGUAAACGAUGAACACUAGGUGUCGGGGGAAUCGACCCCCUCGGUGUCGUAGCCAACGCGUUAAGUGUUCCGCCUGGGGAGUACGCACGCAAGUGUGAAACUCAAAGGAAUUGACGG